GAUGUGCUGAGGUAUAUGAGAAGGCAUUGAGGAGUUAAGGAAAUGAGGAAGCAAAGGAGUGAAAGGAAAGAGUGAGUUGAGCAAUGGUACGGACAGAUCAUCCGUACACUGACCGUACAAGGUAAAAGGGAGGACGGUAACUUCACCGAGUAACUCACAUGAACUGAGGUGAAGUUACACUCGACCAAAAGCUUAUCCAGACGUUGGAGUGGAUAAGAGAGGCGCGCAUUGACAGCUAAGACAGGCUGGCAAAGACUGGAAAGGAAGAGCAUCUUGGACUUGGAUCAGGAAGAUGCCUAAUCGUGUGAAGCUUGUCAUUGGCCGGUUCAAACAAAAGCAAAGGCUCUUCCCUUGACUUCACAUGCUUAGCUAUCCUUAUGUUUUCGAAAAACCCUAAUGCUUAGGACUAUAUAUAUGUAACCUCAGUCAUUAAUAAAGAUUAGACAGUUCUAAACAAUCUUUCUCUUUACUCAUUUCACUAUGAUUCUCCAUUAGUCUCUAAGUUGUCUCUUAAUCUCUUAUUCUCCUUCUCUAAUCCUUUCUAAACUCAG
rnacentral:lncRNA from 1 species